rnacentral:lncRNA from 1 species
AUAAAAUGUCAUUUCUAAAAUUCUAUCCUUCCAAUCCCUCGAAAAUCUCCUCAGACGACUGCUGCGAGGUGGUCGGUCUAUUCCCACCUUCCUCUCACUUUCUCUCUCUAAUUAUUUUCGUCCUUAUUUCUUUUGCACCAAGCAAACAGAUAUAAUCGAGUCAGACCCAGAAAAAUAUAUUUAUAUACUAAUCAAUAAAUUAUUUAAAUAAAUACUUAAUAAAUUAUUCAUGAACUCACAACCAUCGCCUUUAGUCUCUGCCGCUCUGUAAUCAAUUAUUCAGUUCAUUCAUAUCCCAAGAAUAAAACUUCCAGGAGACAGAAUCAAGAUCAAGCCGUGAAGAGAUUUUUGUUUAUAAGGUAAAAUAUUUUUUUUAAUUUUUUAUUAUGUCCUUUUUUUUUUUUUUUUUUUUAAAUUUUCCGUUGGUGUUAGAUGUUAAGUUAUUGCACAGAUCGGGGUUUAUUUUCAUAUUUUCUCACGUAUUUUGGAUGUAAAGUUCUAUUCUUUAACGCACAAUGUUUAUAUAUAUAUAUAUAUAUAUAUAUAUAUAUUCUAGAAGUAUGUGCUCGGCGUACUUGUUUAUGCAUUUUAGAAAUCGAAUUAUUUAGUUAUUUCAGGAAUUUGUAAAUCCAGGAUGGUUGACUUUCUGUAAAUGCUUGUUGGAGAUCACUUAUGAUUUUUUGACUGAUAUUUUGCUGUGAAUAUGUGGGGUUUUUAAUUGUUGUAGGCAUCA